UUCUUGAAGAAAUUCCAUUGCACAUGUAGUACCCAAAAAGAGAAGAGCUAUUGCCAGUUUGCUACCAUGUAUUGUUCACCCAUGCAAGAAGCUUGACAAGAAAUGGAGUUUCAGUAGCAGAGGGCCCCUGCAUCACCAUGAUAACCCAACAGAUUUCUCAUUCUCAUCUUCUUUCAUCAAAUUAGUACGCCCUAAUUGACAAGGUGAAGAUGACAGUUUG
rnacentral:misc_RNA from 1 species